UACAGAGGUGGCAAGCGUUGUUCGGAAUUACUGGGCGUAAAGGGCGCGUAGGCGGUUCGUUAAGUCCUGUGUGAAAUCCCCCGGCUCAACUGGGGAACUGCACAGGAAACUAGCGGGCUUGAGUUCGGGAGAGGGAAGCGGAAUUCCGGGUGUAGCGGUGAAAUGCGUAGAUAUCCGGAGGAACACCGGUGGCGAAGGCGGCUUCCUGGACCGAUAUUGACGCUGAGGAGCGAAAGCCAGGGGAGCAAACGGG
rnacentral:rRNA from 1 species